rnacentral:rRNA from 1 species
GAUGAACGCUGGCGGCGUGCCUAAUACAUGCAAGUCGAGCGAACGGACGAGAAGCUUGCUUCUCUGAUGUUAGCGGCGGACGGGUGAGUAACACGUGGAUAACCUACCUAUAAGACUGGGAUAACUUCGGGAAACCGGAGCUAAUACCGGAUGAUAUUUUGAACCGCAUGGUUCAAAAGUGAAAGACGGUCUUGCUGUCACUUAUAGAUGGAUCCGCGCUGCAUUAGCUAGUUGGUAAGGUAACGGCUUACCAAGGCAACGAUGCAUAGCCGACCUGAGAGGGUGAUCGGCCACACUGGAACUGAGACACGGUCCAGACUCCUACGGGAGGCAGCAGUAGGGAAUCUUCCGCAAUGGGCGAAAGCCUGACGGAGCAACGCCGCGUGAGUGAUGAAGGUCUGCGGAUCGUAAAACUCUGUUAUUAGGGAAGAACAUAUGUGUAAGUAACGGUGCACAUCUGGACGGUACCUAAGCAGAAAGCCACGGCUAACUACGG